AUUGAACGCUGGCGGCAUGCCUUACACAUGCAAGUCGAACGGUAACGGGUCCUUCGGGAUGCCGACGAGUGGCGAACGGGUGAGUAAUAUAUCGGAACGUGCCCAGUAGUGGGGGAUAACUGCUCGAAAGAGCAGCUAAUACCGCAUACGACCUGAGGGUGAAAGGGGGGGAUCGCAAGACCUCUCGCUAUUGGAGCGGCCGAUAUCAGAUUAGCUAGUUGGUGGGGUAAAGGCCUACCAAGGCAACGAUCUGUAGUUGGUCUGAGAGGACGACCAGCCACACUGGGACUGAGACACGGCCCAGACUCCUACGGGAGGCAGCAGUGGGGAAUUUUGGACAAUGGGCGCAAGCCUGAUCCAGCAAUGCCGCGUGCAGGAAGAAGGCCUUCGGGUUGUAAACUGCUUUUGUCAGGGAAGAAAUCUUCUGGGCUAAUACCCCGGGAGGAUGACGGUACCUGAAGAACAAGCACCGGCUAACUACGUGCCAGCAGCCGCGGUAAUACGUAGGGUGCGAGCGUUAAUCGGAAUUACUGGGCGUAAAGCGUGCGCAGGCGGCUUUGCAAGACAGAUGUGAAAUCCCCGGGCUCAACCUGGGAGCUGCAUUUGUGACUGCAAGGCUAGAGUACGGCAGAGGGGGAUGGAAUUCCGCGUGUAGCAGUGAAAUGCGUAGAUAUGCGGAGGAACACCAAUGGCGAAGGCAAUCCCCUGGGCCUGUACUGACGCUCAUGCACGAAAGCGUGGGGAGCAAACAGGAUUAGAUACCCUGGUAGUCCACGCCCUAAACGAUGUCAACUGGUUGUUGGACGGCUUGCUGUUCAGUAACGAAGCUAACGCGUGAAGUUGACCGCCUGGGGAGUACGGCCGCAAGGUUGAGACUCAAAGGAAUUGACGGGGACCCGCACAAGCGGUGGAUGAUGUGGUUUAAUUCGAUGCAACGCGAAAAACCUUACCUACCCUUGACAUGUCAAGAAUUCUGCAGAGAUGUGGAAGUGCUCGAAAGAGAACUUGAACACAGGUGCUGCAUGGCCGUCGUCAGCUCGUGUCGUGAGAUGUUGGGUUAAGUCCCGCAACGAGCGCAACCCUUGUCAUUAGUUGCUACGCAAGAGCACUCUAAUGAGACUGCCGGUGACAAACCGGAGGAAGGUGGGGAUGACGUCAGGUCCUCAUGGCCCUUAUGGGUAGGGCUACACACGUCAUACAAUGGCCGGUACAGAGGGCUGCCAACCCGCGAGGGGGAGCCAAUCCCAGAAAACCGGUCGUAGUCCGGAUCGUAGUCUGCAACUCGACUGCGUGAAGUCGGAAUCGCUAGUAAUCGCGGAUCAGCUUGCCGCGGUGAAUACGUUCCCGGGUCU
rnacentral:rRNA from 1 species